rnacentral:lncRNA from 1 species
UUUCUUCAGUCGAGUGAAAUCUAAUGGCUAAAACUAUGCAAUACACCAACCACUCCAUUUCAGAACGAACUUCGUACGAACCUGAAUUGUCCAAUUCCAAGGACCAAUCGAUAUCGGAUUGAGCCCAAAACUUCUGGGACAUCAUAAUAUGGUGGGAGGAGUCAUUUGGUGAGUUUCGACUGAACUCCAAUGGCGAAAACUAUGCAUUACACCAAACACUCCAUUUCAU